GGAGAGGUGGCCGAGACGGCCGAAGGCGCUCGCCUGCUAAGCGGGUAUACGGAUAAAACUGUAUCGAGGGUUCGAAUCCCUCCCUCUCCGCCA
rnacentral:tRNA from 5 species